rnacentral:rRNA from 1 species
UACGGAGGGUGCAAGCGUUGUCCGGAAUCACUGGGCGUAAAGGGCGCGUAGGCGGCUCAUGAAGGCUGUGGUGAAAGUCCGGGGCUCAACCUCGGAUCGGCCGUGGCGACUCGUGGGCUGGAGCACUGUAGAGGCGGGUGGAAUUCCGGGUGUAGCGGUGGAAUGCGUAGAGAUCCGGAAGAACACCGGUGGCGAAGGCGGUCUGCUAGGCAGUUGCUGACGCUGAUGCGCGACAGCGUGGGGAGCAAACAGG